AGGAGAUUUCAUGCUUUUGCAUACCCAAGAAGGUUGGUCCUGCAGGUGUAAGUCACAAAGAGGCUAAGGUUAAUUUGGAUAAUCAUUUCCAGGAUCCGCCACAUCCAAAAAAUUAUUCAAUUACCCAAAAAAAUAUCAUGGUGAUUCAUCAUCUUCACCUAUCAAGAAAAAGUUGAAGCAACAACAUAAAGGUUUGGAUGAGCAGACACCAAAAAGGACCCCUCCACCUCGUACUACAAAGAAGCUUUCUGUCAGGACUCCAAUUUUUAUGCCGAUUCAACAAAAAGAGAAAGUAGUUUCAAAAAAGAAGGACCUAAACAGAUCAGCAAGCAAGAAAUCUAAUACGAUUCAGUCACCUGAUUCAUCUUUCUGCAGUUCUGGAGAUGAAAAUGAUUUUGUUUUAAAGAAAGUGUUUCACAAGUUUCGCAAUGAGGUUCUUCAAGAGAUGAAAUCCAUCCGUGGCCUAGUAUCAACAAGGUGUGAUGCGAUAAUGAAUGCUAUAAGUGAGAUCAAG